rnacentral:rRNA from 1 species
UACGGAGGGUGCAAACGUUGCUCGGAAUCAUUGGGCGUAAAGCGCACGUAGGCGGCCUGUUAAGUCGGGUGUGAAAGCCCUGGGCUCAACCCAGGAAGUGCACUCGAAACUGGCAGGCUUGAAUAUGGAAGAGGGUCGCGGAAUUCCCGGUGUAGAGGUGAAAUUCGUAGAUAUCGGGAGGAACACCAGUGGCGAAGGCGGCGACCUGGGCCAAUAUUGACGCUGAGGUGCGAAAGCGUGGGGAGCGAACAGG